rnacentral:rRNA from 1 species
GAUGAACGCUGGCGGCGUGCCUAACACACGCAAGUCGAGCGAUUUACUUCGGUAAAGAGCGGCGGACAGGUGAGUAACGCGUGGGUAACCUGCCCUGUACACACGGAUAACAUACCGAAAGGUAUGCUAAUACGAGAUAAUAUGCUUUUAUUGCAUGGUAGCAGUAUCAAAGCUUUUGCGGUACAGGAUGGACCCGCGUCUGAUUAGCUAGUUGGUAAGGGAACGGCUUACCAAGGCGACGAUCAGUAGCCGACCUGAGAGGGUGAUCGGCCACAUUGGAACUGAGACACGGUCCAAACUCCUACGGGAGGCAGCAGUGGGGAAUAUUGCACAAUGGGCGAAAGCCUGAUGCAGCAACGCCGCGUGAGCGAUGAAGGCCUUCGGGUCGUAAAGCUCAGUCCUCAAGGAAGAUAAUGACGGUACUUGAGGAGGAAGCCCCGGCUAACUACGUGCCAGCAGCCGCGGUAA